UACGUAGGGCGCAAGCGUUAUCCGGAAUUAUUGGGCGUAAAGAGCUCGUAGGCGGUUUGUCGCGUCCGCUGUGAAAGCCCGGGGCUUAACCCCGGGUCGGCAGUGGAUACGGGCAGGCUAGAGGUAGGUAGGGGAGAAUGGAAUUCCCGGUGUAGCGGUGAAAUGCGCAGAUAUCGGGAGGAACACCGGUGGCGAAGGCGGUUCUCUGGGAAUGUCCUGACGCUGAGGAGCGAAAGUGUGGGGAGCGAACAGG
rnacentral:rRNA from 1 species